UAAUAAGUAAUUUGUGUUGCUGAAGUAUAGAAUUUACCGGUGUUUCUUGCCUUGUCCCACUCUUCUCCAUUCCAUGAUUGACAUACUGACCUGUGAGUAUAAAGUACAAAAAAUCAGAUUUAUAGCGAUGAAGACAUGUUCGUGCUCAAGCAUGGGAUCUCCGGUCUCCACUCUCCACACAUUACAAAGACGCAUAUAACAGUUUCAUGAACUGGGUUCUGAGGAUAUAUGGCAGAAGUCAGAACAGCGAAAAUAUGUCUCAAACUAGAUGGAUUCGAAAUGCUUAGCAUGUAUAAGCUUGGAGAGCCUUUCCUUUAAAAAUCUUUUUUCUUCAAACACAGGUCGGGUGA